rfam:Ciona savignyi cont_48831, whole genome shotgun sequence.
UACCUGGUUGAUCCUGCCAGUAGUCAUAUGCUUGUCUCAAAGAUUAAGCCAUGCAAGUCUAAGUACGAGCUCUCGUACAGUGAAACUGCGAAUGGCUCAUUAAAUCAGUUAUGGUUCAUUUGAUCGUACAGUUUACUUGGAUAACUGUGGUAAUUCUAGAGCUAAUACAUGCGAGAAGCGCCGACCUCGCGGGAGGCGUGCAUUUAUCAGACCAAAAACCGGCCGCGUCUUCGGGCGCGUUCGCCUUGGUGACUCUGGAUAACUUUGCGGAUCGCACGGUCUAGCACCGGCGACGGAUCAUUCAAGUGUCUGCCCUAUCAACUUUCGUCGGUACGGUAUUUGCCUACCGAGGUUCUUACGGGUG